UUCAGAUCCUUGAAUUGAAUCCUGUAUGAUGUAAAGCAUGUGUUAGUUUAGUGCAUGCUUUUAGCUGUGACUCUGGUUGCAGUUGCACCGUGAUGCCAAAAAUUGCGGGAAAAACCGCUGCAACGCAGAUGUGGAGAGUAUUGCUACAGUAAUGUUGCACCUGCAAUUGUGGUCGUCAGCUGCAAUUUAAAACCAUGGUUGAAGUGGAAUAUUCAGGUGGGGGUCUUAAUUUGAGUUGAUGAGAAAUCUCUUGUUCAUCCUAGUGUGUUUUUGAUGAAAUUUAAAUAGAGAAGGAUGAGGCUUGCUUUGUUAUUUACGAUAAACGUAACAUACUCUUGGAGUCACCUGGAUUGGCCAAGGUUUGUAGGAGGCUAUAGUAAUCUGAAUAAUUAAGAAAAAAAUGUUUCUCUUUUAUCUUGUUUUUGGAUAAACUUCUAUUUUUGCCUAGGAUUCCAAUAUUUGCAUGUCAAUUUUCUCUCAUUUUCAUUUUAAUUUAGAUAUUAUGAAGCAUUGUAGUAAUUGACUUGGUUUAUAAGCUUGAGUACAUUCAUGGAUAUGGAUACUCAGAUGCUAAAAAUCUCAUAUGACCUUGCGGGUUGUGAUGCUUAGGUUAAAAAAAAUUAAAACAUGACAAGCUCGUGAGAUUUUCCCGUGAGGUUGCAUUUCUUUUGAUUUAUAUUUCAUCACGGCAGCAUAUAUGAUGUAUCACAAUCUUAGCAUAGCUAUAAAUAAGACUGUUGUCUUGUAUACUGAAUGCUAUAGAAGAGCUGAUAUUAUUAUAAUAUCUCCUCUCUUGUUUACAUAAGCUUGAGGAGACAAUCACCUAGUAUCGGAUCCAAAGUGCUUAUGUCAUUUGUUUAUAUAUUUAAACUAACGAAAAUUACUAUCAAGUUGUCAA